GACGAACGCUGGCGGCGUGCUUAACACAUGCAAGUCGAACGGAAAGGCCCUGCUUUUGUGGGGUGCUCGAGUGGCGAACGGGUGAGUAACACGUGAGUAACCUGCCCUUGACUUUGGGAUAACUUCAGGAAACUGGGGCUAAUACCGGAUAGGAGCUCCUGCUGCAUGGUGGGGGUUGGAAAGUUUCGGCGGUUGGGGAUGGACUCGCGGCUUAUCAGCUUGUUGGUGGGGUAGUGGCUUACCAAGGCUUUGACGGGUAGCCGGCCUGAGAGGGUGACCGGCCACAUUGGGACUGAGAUACGGCCCAGACUCCUACGGGAGGCAGCAGUGGGGAAUAUUGCUCAAUGGGCGGAAGCCUGAUGCAGCAGCGCCGCGUGCGGGAUGACGGCCUUCGGGUUGUAAACCGCUUUCGCCUGUGACGAAGCGUGAGUGACGGUAAUGGGUAAAGAAGCACCGGCUAACUACGUG
rnacentral:rRNA from 1 species